AGUGAACGCUGGCGGUAGGCCUAACACAUGCAAGUCGAACGGCAGCACAGUAAGAGCUUGCUCUUACGGGUGGCGAGUGGCGGACGGGUGAGGAAUACAUCGGAAUCUACUUUUUCGUGGGGGAUAACGUAGGGAAACUUACGCUAAUACCGCAUACGACCUACGGGUGAAAGCAGGGGAUCUUCGGACCUUGCGCGAUUGAAUGAGCCGAUGUCGGAUUAGCUAGUUGGCGGGGUAAAGGCCCACCAAGGCGACGAUCCGUAGCUGGUCUGAGAGGAUGAUCAGCCACACUGAAACUGAGACACGGUCCAGACUCCUACGGGAGGCAGCAGUGGGGAAUAUUGGACAAUGGGCGCAAGCCUGAUCCAGCCAUACCGCGUGGGUGAAGAAGGCCUUCGGGUUGUAAAGCCCUUUUGUUGGGAAAGAAAAGCAGCAGGUUAAUACCCCGCUGUUCUGACGGUACCCAAGGAAUAAGCACCGGCUAACUUCGUG
rnacentral:rRNA from 1 species